rnacentral:lncRNA from 1 species
AUUUAAAAGCUUAUGGGAAAACUAGAUUGAAAUGUUUUCCUAAAAUCCAGUGUCUUCAACUUUCAAGCUGAUUGCGAGAGGGAAGGUCCUGGGUGGUUCUGCCACGUGUUGUCUCACACAGACCCUGGGACCAUGGAAAUGAGAUCAUGUGGCAGAAGAGAUCAGAAGAAAGGAAUGGCUCUAAAGGGUGAUAUCUGGCUUCUGAGGCCAAUAAAUGCCUUUCCUGGUGGAUGGAUGUUUUAUGUGAGGCCGUGUAUUCCCUUUGAGUUAUGUGAUAUUAUCAAAGAAAACCAGAAAAGUGUAUAUCUUCCAAAGAGACGUGUAAAGAAUGGCACCAAAGAGAAUAUUGUGACUGAACAUCAGCUCUGCAAAACAAAAGGAGUUUGACUGCAGUGUGAUUUAUGUGGAAAGACUCAGGCAACUUCUGC